AAUGAACGUUGGCGGCGUGGAUUAGGCAUGCAAGUCGAGGGAGAACCCCGCAAGGGGGGACGACCGGCGAACGGGUAGGAACACCUCGUGACGUACCCUCAGGACGGGGAUAGCGGCGGGAAACUGCCGGUAAUACCCGAUGAUCUGACAGGACUUGAGGGCCUGUCAGCAAAGGUGAGAUUCCACCUGAGGACCGGCUGAGGCGCUAUUAGCUUGUUGGUGAGGUCACGGCUCACCAAGGCGACGAUGGCGUAGGGGGUGUGAGAGCAUCGGCCCCCACCACGUGGCGCUGAGACACUGGCCAGACACCUA
rnacentral:rRNA from 1 species